UACGGAGGAUGCGAGCGUUAUCCGGAUUUAUUGGGUUUAAAGGGUGCGUAGGCGGAAUAUCAAGUCAGCGGUAAAAGCCCGGGGCUCAACCCCGGCCCGCCGUUGAAACUGGCUGGCUUGAGUUGGGGAAAGGCAGGCGGAAUGCGCGGUGUAGCGGUGAAAUGCAUAGAUAUCACGCAGAACUCCGAUCGCGAAGGCAGCCUACCGGCGCGCAACUGACGCUCAUGCACGAAAGCGUGGGUAUCGAACAGG
rnacentral:rRNA from 1 species